CGUGGAGACAGGUGGUGCAUGGCUGUCGUCAGCUCGUGUCGUGAGAUGUUGGGUUAAGUCCCGCAACGAGCGCAACCCUCACCUCUUGUUGCCAUCAGGUCAUGCUGGGCACUCUAGAGGAACUGCCCCGGUCAACGGGGAGGAAGGCGGGGAUGACGUCAAGUCAUCAUGCCCCUUACGUCCUGGGCUACACACGUGCUACAAUGGCCGGUACAAAGGGAUGCCACACCGCGAGGUAGAGCUAAACCCAAAAGCCGGUCUAAGUUCAGAUUGGAGUCUGCAACUCGACUCCAUGAAGGAGGAAUCGCUAGUAAUCGCGUAUCAGCACGACGCGGUGAAUACGUUCCCGGGCCUUGUACACACCGCCCGUCACACCACGAAAGCCCGCUGUACUCGAAGUCGCUGAG
rnacentral:rRNA from 1 species